CACUUACUCACCAGUGCCAUAAAAUGAUAAAUAGCAACUUUCAAAGAAGAUGAGGUGUGAGAAGAAGGGAAGGGUACCUAUGUAAUGGAGGGCAGGAGAAGUAAGAAAGAAAGAAAGAAAGAAAGAGGAGAUAAUCAGCAAUACAAAGUAAAUUUUUAUGUAUUUGUGAGAUUAAGAAAAACACUACACCACCAAGAUGUUUUGCAAGUGCCAAACAGGAUUUCAGAUGAACAGAGACAGGAUGAACAGUGACAAUGGGCAGAGGAGAAAUCUCCUCUGGAUCUCUGUUUGAGGCUAUUACAGAUCUGAGAGCAGGUAUGGACAACCCUUCUGCUUUGCCAUU